AACAUUUUUUAUUUAAAGUUAGUUUAAAAGAUAUGAAUAUUUAGAAAAGCAUUUGAAUCUGCCCAAAAAAAAGAAAAAAGUUAAACAGAGAAAAGCUGGGCCAAAAUUACAAACAUUAUGCAUGCAGCCUAUCUGAUAAAUGAAGCUUGGGCGAGACACCUAUAUCCUACGCCACCCUGUAUUUAAAGAGAAAAAUGAUGAGAAAAGCAAAGAAGAAAAGGAGAGCAGGUGGGAAUUGAACCUGGAUCUCC
rnacentral:rRNA from 1 species